UUUGAUAAGGGGAGUCUUUCUUCCCUAAUCUGCUUUUUGGAUUUGCUCAUUUGUCUAGCCACAUAUAUAGUACGUGUACGUGGUGGCAAAGUGCUUGGGCACUGCAAUCAGUCUCCUGGGUUUGCACCCCAGCUCCGCCACUUGACAUGUAGGCUGGGGGAAGCCACAUCACUUUUAUGUGCUUUGGUUUUCUCACCUGGAAAAUGAGGAUAAUCAUAUGCUCUCUUGUUAGUGUUAUCAUGGGGUGAAGAUGAGGCAAUGCCAAGUAUAGUGCCGCGUACAGAGCCUGGAGCAAGGUAAGCACCCAAGAAUGCGAACUGCUACUAUUGUGGUCAUGAUUUUCUAGCUUGUAGCAGAACUACUACUUAUUUAGAUCAUGGCAUCUAAAAAUACAUUUCCUCAAAUAUCAAAAGAGCCAGGACCAGAAUCUUGGCCUCUGGCCUCAAAGAUAAUGCCUUUUCCCGGCAUUUCCCCUGGACAGGCUGGGAAACAUCGCACCACAAAAUCUACACUCUUUCAAUCCUUUUCCUCUUCCAUAAAAUGAAGAUAACAGUAGUACCUCUUGGAUGGAUGUGUUAAGAAAAAGAUAAUGCCUGUGAAGUACCUAGCGCAGGACCUAGCACAGUACAUAGCACGGUACCUGGAGAACUGUGAUGAGCUUGUUUCCCACUUCACUGGAAAACAAAAUGGGAAUAUUCAGAAGAUAAGUUCCACAGCUCCCAUAGCAUCUUCCUAUCUACCAGGAUUUGGACCUUCUACACCCUGCUCCCAUUAAGGAAUUAGCCUUGCUCUUGUCCAAAACUAGCCUUUGCGUAUGCCUUAGAUCCUAUCCCCCUUGCUUGCUCACAGGCUUUGCUCCAGCAAUUCUCCCUAUUUUUCCCCUAUACCAUCAGCUUCCUCUCUCUACUAGGUCAUUUCCACCAGCACACAACAAUACUGUCUCUCUCAUCUUAGAAAUGGAAACUAACAAAAUUGAGUUCACUUUUCCUUCUGACACUAUCCCUUUUCUACCUCCCCCACUUUACAGCAAAACUCUUUGAAAGCUGCCUGAAUUUCACUGCUUCCAUUUCCUCUCCUCUUCUCACUUAAACCUACUGCUGCCAGAACCGGGACUCCACCACCUCACCAGACCCCUGCUUGUCAAUAUCAUCAAUGACUUCCAUCUUGCUAAAUCCAUUUCUUGUCCCCAUUGAACUUGACCCUCAGUAACACCUUGUCAAAUUAACCACUCCCUUCUCAUGGAAAUGAUUUCUUGUUUUCUAAGACACUACACAUUUCGUUUUCCUUCAACACCCCUGGAUGCUGCUUCCCAGUCUUGUCCCUUAACCUCCUAGCACUGAAGUGAUGCAGGGCUCAGUCCACAGAUCUCUUCAUCUUUCCUGUUCACUCCAUACUCACCCUCUUGGUAAUUCCCUUCCAGUUUCAUCGUUUAAAUGGCAUCUGUCUGCAAAUGAUUAUCAAAUGUAUGCCUCCAGCCAUGGCCACUGCUCUCAACGUUAGCUUAUCCAUCUAACUGUCAACUCUGUAUCUCUACCUGGACGCCUGAUGGAGGUCUCCAAUGUACCAUGCCCUAAACUGAAAUUUUGAUCUUCUUUAUCCACAGAAUCUGCUCGACCCUAUCUCAGUUAAAGGCAUAUGUUACUAAAGCCAAAGUCAGCAAAGAAGGAGCCUCCAUGCUUGGAAACAACCCAGCUAACUGCCAUCUGUGUGGUAGCUUGAGUGUGGAUUGAAGAACGGAGAGUCAGGAUUCUAGGGGAGAGUGGAACCAAUGGCUGGGCUGGAACCUGCAUGCCAGCACCUCCCCCACAUGCUGUUGGUCAAGCCAGAUUCAAGAGAUGGGGAAACAGACUCCGCCUCUGGAUGCCGCAAAGUCCCACGGCAAAGGGCAGGAAUAUAGAGCAUCAGGCUGCAAAUUUGAACACGAGCUUCCACAUGGUCAUCACAAAGAGGGAAAUACAGACAGCUUCGUGGCUCAUAAUUUCAAAAGAUAAAAAGAAAGAUGUCAUUUAGAAGCACACCUGUUCCUAGUACUCAGUCCUUGGAGGAUUCUCUUGCUGACUGAAAAGGGGGAUGAUCAUUCAUACCAUGACAAAAUGGCAGAAAAUGUGCAACUCCAAGACCAAGAAAACGUGAAGAGGCUGUGACUACCUCCAUGUGAGAAACAUCUGAGUUCCUCCUGAUCCUAAGACCUCCCCACAAUGUAUGUAUGAUAGCAAUUUCCUCUGACAGAGCAGUGAAUUUGAUGAUAGUGCAUCGAUUGCUGUAAAUUGUCUGCUGGGUUACCUGUUCCUACCACCUUAGAGCACUCACAGCUCAGUGACUGUGGAAGUCAGCUUCCAAGAUGUUCCCCUAUGAUCCUCCCCUCCUUGUAUUCACAUCUGUAAAGAUUCCUCCCACAAUGAAUCACAGUUUCGUUUUGUGACCAACAGAAUACAGCAGAAGUAAGGAAAUGUGACUUCCAAGGCUAAUGAAUAAAAGGCUUUGCAGUUUUCUCCUUGGUCAGUUGGAAGCCACCUGCCAUGGACACUCAAGCAGUUCUGUGGAGAGGCUCAUGAGGGAAAGAACUGAGGCCCCUCCACCAACAUCCAGCACCAACUUGUCAGCUGUGUCUGUGAGCCAUCUAGGAAUGAGACCCUCCUGAAGCCCUGGUGAAGCCUUCAGAUGACCGUAGCCCCAGCCAACAUUUGGCUGCAGUCUCAUGGCAGGCUCCAAGCCAAACCCUACCAGUGAAUUUGCUACCAAAUUCCUGACUCAUGGAAACUGUGUGUGUAAUAAAUGUUUAUUGUAUGAUAAAGCCACUAAAUUUAGGAGUAAUUUCUUACACAGCAAUAGAUAACUAGUAGAGUCACUUUGCAUCUCUUAGGGUCUAUGGCAAAUGACACAUAAUGAAUAGAGAAAUUGGAACAGACAACUGGUUGUCUGUUUCAGUACAGAAACUGGUUGGUAUUAAGAGUGACAAUUUUUAUUAUAGUUCAAGCUAUAGUACUGUAUGUUCUUGAAUAAACUAUGCUAAUCUAGGCCAUCCAAAGACUUCCCAAAAUGUAUGGUGAGAAUAACAUUUCCAAGAUACUAAACCAAUGUUUGUAGCUCCUGAUAAUUCCUAAUUCCUGGUUGCCCCAAGCCACCACCUGCCCCAACUAAAACAAAAGAAUUGAUCACAUCAUAAUAAAAUUAGAACCUUCAAAGAACAGGCACUGAUCUCUUGGAAUUUUUAUUUUAAACUUAAGUUUACAUGACAAUCUGCUUCCACUUACAUGAUAAUCUGAAAGCAUAUGUUGAAAUGGCAUGGUUCUUGGUUGCAGAAAACAGAAAUGAAAUCUACCUAAGCAGAAAUUAAAAUUAUAGGAGGGAUAUUGGGAGCUCAUAACAUCCAGAGGCUGACUAAACAAACAGACUUCAACGUCAAAAGCAGCCCCCACCCUGGAGGCUAGGGAUCUAUGAGAGCAAAUUGAACAUCUGAUCUCUCAGCUCUCACCAAACUCACACCAUGGCAGAACCUUCACGAAGGGAGGAAGAGACUCAGAUGCUGAACACAAGGAGAG
rnacentral:lncRNA from 10 species